rnacentral:sRNA from 1 species
GUGCUGACGUCGGACGCCGCCGCGGCGCGCUCUGCAGACUCCGGGUCGCCGCUCCGCCGGGACGCGUUGGCCGGGGCGCGCGGUGCUUGGCUGCGGUGCUCACACUCAUGAGGAGCCGGAAGCUCACAGGUGCAGUGCGGUCUUCAGCGCGCUUGAAAGCACGAAGUUGUUCGGCAGCCAGGUUGGCCUCUGCCCAGGAAGUCGCUGGUUCCACGUCUGCCAAGACAGCAUGUCUGGUGAGCCCUGUUACCAUGGAGAAUGCCAAGAUCCUGACUCGAGGGUCCAUUUUUAUACAAAAUUGCCACUCCAAGAUGUGUUGCUUUAGAAAAAUAUCGAAUGUUACUUAUCUGCCAGAGGGGGACUAUUGCAGAUGAAAAGGUGACAGCACUGUAAUUGCCUUCAGAGAAAGACACACUCUGCAGGCCGGGGCUGGCUCUCCUAGCAACUGCCCACCCGUGUGUGUGUCUAGACCCGGGCCCUGAUCCUAGCACCCGCCCACCCAUGUGUGUCUAGACCCGGGCUCUGAUCCUAGCACCCGCCCACCCGUGUGUGUGUCUAGACCCGGGCUCUGAUCCUAGCACCCGCCCACCCGUGUGUGUGUCUAGACCCGGGCUCUGAUCCUAGCACCCGCCCACCCGUGUGUGUGUCUAGACCCGGGCCCUGAUCCUAGCACCCGCCCACCCGUGUGUGUGUCUAGACCCGGGCCCUGAUCCUAGCACCCGCCCACCCGUGUGUGUGUCUAGACCCGGGCCCUGAUCCUAGCACCCGCCCACCCGUGUGUGUCUAGACCCGGGCCCUGAUCCUAGCACCCGCCCACCCGUGUGUGUGUCUAGACCCGGGCCCUGAUCCUAGCACCCGCCCACCCGUGUGUGUGUCUAGACCCGGGCUCUGAUCCUAGCACCCGCCCCCGUGUGUGUGUCUAGACCCGGGCUCUGAUCCUAGCACCCGCCCACCCGUGUGUGUGUCUAGACCCGGGCUCUGAUCCUAGCACCCGCCCACCCGUGUGUGUGUCUAGACCCGGGCCUAUCCUAGCACCCGCCCACUCGUGUGUGUGUCUAGACUCGGGCCCUGAUCCUAGCACCCGCCCACUCGUGUGUGUGUCUAGACUCGGGCCCUGAUCCUAGCACCCGCCCACCCGUGUGUGUCUAGACCCGGGCUCUGAUCCUAGCACCCGCCCACCCAUGUGUGUCUAGACCCGGGCCCUGAUCGUAGCACCUGCCCACCCUUGCCUGUGUCUAGACCGGGGCCCUGAUCCUAGCACCCACCCACCCGUGUGUGUGUCUAGACCAGGCUCUGAGGCCACUUGUGCUCAUCACUCUGCUCUUAGCGUGCUGUCGAGUCAUGCUGGCCCAUUGCCGUGCAGCCUCACCGCCAGAGGCUUGAAGAGAAAGGCAGAGUGGGUGGGGAAAGGAAUGUCAUGCCGUCUGCCGUUCACCCUAGCCCAGCCAUCGAUUCCGAGGAGCGAGUUCCUGAACUUACCGGUGAAGUAGAGCCACUUCCCGGAGCCUACAGCUGAGGGGUUAGGACUUGGCCGUAUGCCAGCGUGUAGCACAGAGCUUUGCUCAUGAUGAGGUGCUUGGUAAAAUUUUGUCGAAGUCAAUUUAACAAAUAUUUCUUGAGCACCUACUGUGUGCCAGGCACUAAUCGGUGAAUAAAGCAAAGACCCCUGCCUUCACAGAGCUUAUGCCCUAGCAGAAAUGAAUGAAAGCUGGAUUCUUUUACUGUAAUUGUAUAAUAUAUAAAUAUAUGCUUCAGAAUUCACCUCAGGAGCUGUAACACCACUGGGGAAAACUGAAAGUGUAGGAGUGAUGUGGGGUGUGUCUAGAUUCAGUCUCACUUGUAUUUUGUCCCUUGGUGGCAAAACAGUGAAAUGACGAUCUGUGAAAGUUGUGGUCACAGCAUCUUUAUCAUUUCCGAUGUGAGAAGAAAUACUAGCCUCUGGAUUGAGGCCUGUUUUAUUCGCUAGAUAUGUCUGGUUCCCCUUACAUUUUUUUUUCUUGACAGACUUCCUCAUCCCACAAAGCCACAGACAGGCGAACGUCCAAGAAGUUCAAAUGUGACAAAGGACAUCUUGUGAAGUCAGAAUUACAGAAGCUUGUCCCUAAGAAUGACAGCGCUUCUUUGCCAAAAGUGACACCUGAGACCCCUUGUGAAAAUGAGUUUGCUGCAGGCAGUGCCUUGCUUCCAGGCAGCGAGGCUGGCGUUUCUGUGCAGCAGGGGGCUGCAAGUCUUCCUCUCGGUGGCUGCAGAGUUGUGAGUGACUCUCGCUUAGCAAAGACUAAAGAUGGCCUGUCCGUGCCAAAACACAGUGCCGGGUCCGGAGCAGAAGAAUCCAACAGCAGCUCCACUGUGCAGAAGCAGAAUGAGCCAGGGCUACAGACAGAGGAUGUGCAGAAGCCACCACUUCAGAUGGACAACAGCGUCUUUCUAGAUGACGACAGCAAUCAGCCAAUGCCCGUGAGCCGGUUCUUUGGAAACGUUGAGCUCAUGCAGGACCUCCCACCUGCGUCUUCAUCUUGUCCUUCAAUGAGCAGACGAGAGUUCAGAAAAAUGCAUUUCAGAGCCAAAGAUGAUGACGACGAUGACGGCGAUGAUGCAGAAAUGUAGGGGCCAUGCAAAAUAAUGUCCUUGAGUGUUCAGUACCAUUAACAAUGUGACAGUUUAGCACAUUACAAGAUUUAUAUAAAAUGUAUCUCCAAGAGAAUGUCUUAAUCAAACUUCAAAACUGACCCAUCUAAGUCAACAGUGCCAAGCACCCAGUACCUGUGGAGGAUGUGCUCAUGGGAACGAAAACUCGAACCGUCUUUGAGGUUGCAAAGCUGCUGUGCUGCGCCAAUGCCCUUUCUUUUUUUUUUUUUUUUUUUUUUCCUUGGAGACAGAGUUUCUCUCUUGUCGCCCAGGCUGGAGUGCAAUGGUGCGAUCUCGGCUCACUGCAACCUCCACCUCCUGGGUUCAAGCGAUUCUCCUGCCUCAGCCUCCUGAGUAGCUGGGAUUACAGGCAUACGCCACCACACCCAGCUAGUUUUUGUAUUAUUAGUAGACACGGGGAUUUCUCCAUGUUGGCCAGGCUGGUCUCAAACUCCUGACCUCGUGAUACGCCCGCCUCAGCCUCCCAAAGUGCUGGGAUUACAGGCGUGAGCCACCAUGCCCGGCCAGUGUCCUUUCUUAUACACGUCCAUACAUGAUGAUGGCUUGAGUCAGCUGCAGGGCAGUGGGCUUCAUGAGAGGGAUCUUUGUAAAGACAGCUCUUCACUUCAGCUCAGUAGCUUUGGUCAUAGGCAAGUUUGUUUUCCAUUAUCCUAAUUUGAUGAUUCUUUUGAUGAAUUCAGUGCUAGUUCUUAAAGAACUCUUUUACUUCUGUAUGUGGAGCUAAUGUUUACCUUGGAAAUUUUGCAAAAUACAUGUAAGAAAGAAAUAAAAUAUAUUUUGAAAAUAUUUUGAAA